rnacentral:rRNA from 1 species
GACGAACGCUGGCGGCGUGCUUAACACAUGCCAGUCGAACGGAAAGGCCCUGCUUUUGUGGGGUGCUCGAGUGGCGAACGGGUGAGUAACACGUGAGUAACCUGCCCUUGACUUUGGGAUAACUUCAGGAAACUGGGGCUAAUACCGGAUAGGAGCUCCUGCUGCAUGGUGGGGGUUGGAAAGUUUCGGCGGUUGGGGAUGGACUCGCGGCUUAUCAACUUGUUGGUGGGGUAGUGGCUUACCAAGGCUUUGACGGGUAGCCGGCCUGAGAGGGUGACCGGCCACAUUGGGACUGAGAUACGGCCCAGACUCCUACGGGAGGCAGCAGUGGGGAAUAUUGCACAAUGGGCGGAAGCCUGAUGCAGCAACGCCGCGUGCGGGAUGACGGCCUUCGGGUUGUAAACCGCUUUCGCCUGUGACGAAGCGUGAGUGACGGUAAUGGGUAAAGAAGCACCGGCUAACUACGUG